UUACGGCCACAUCACGUUGAAAUACCGGUUUCUGUACGAUCACCGAAUUUAAGCAACGUCGAGCCUGGAAAGUAACUUGAUGGGUGACCUCUUGGGAAUACUAGACGCUGUAAG